CACCCACCCAUUUUUUUUCUCCUCCACUACGUCCCUUCCGGGGUUCCGUAGAUACCGCAUGGGGAACAGAAAGAAAAUACUCUGCAUUUCGUGACUCGGUGUUCCAUUAAGGAUGCAACUGCUGAUGUCAGAUGGCAUUGACUCAUGAAGGCAACACAAUAGAUUUGAUUGCUCUCAUUAUUCAGCCCAUGUGAUUAUGUGACCUCACACCAUGUUUGAUGAAAACAGCUUCAUUUAAAAAAAAAAUGCCAUAGAUGACAUGGGACAUGUGACAAUUUGUGCUCAUAUGAACCCUCAUAUGGAAAGCAAAGAAUAAAACAACCAAAUAUAA